GAUGAACGCUGGCGGCGUGCCUAAUACAUGCAAGUCGAGCGAACAGAUGAGGAGCUUGCUCCUCUGACGUUAGCGGCGGACGGGUGAGUAACACGUGGAUAACCUACCUAUAAGACUGGGAUAACUUCGGGAAACCGGAGCUAAUACCGGAUAAUAUAUUGAACCGCAUGGUUCAAUAGUGAAAGACGGUUUUGCUGUCACUUAUAGAUGGAUCCGCGCCGCAUUAGCUAGUUGGUAAGGUAGCGGCUUACCAAGGCGACGAUGCGUAGCCGACCUGAGAGGGUGAUCGGCCACACUGGAACUGAGACACGGUCCAGACUCCUACGGGAGGCAGCAGUAGGGAAUCUUCCGCAAUGGGCGAAAGCCUGACGGAGCAACGCCGCGUGAGUGAUGAAGGUCUUCGGAUCGUAAAACUCUGUUAUUAGGGAAGAACAAAUGUGUAAGUAACUAUGCACGUCUUGACGGUACCUAAUCAGAAAGCCACGGCUAACUACGUG
rnacentral:rRNA from 1 species